rnacentral:rRNA from 1 species
AUUUGAACGCUGGCGGCAUGCCUUACACAUGCAAGUCGAACGGCAGCACGGAGCUUGCUCCUGGUGGCGAGUGGCGAACGGGUGAGUAAUACAUCGGAACGUACCCUGAAGUGGGGGAUAACGUAGCGAAAGUUACGCUAAUACCGCAUAUUCUGUGAGCAGGAAAGAGGGGGAUCGCAAGACCUCUUGCUUUAGGAGCGGCCGAUGUCGGAUUAGCUAGUUGGUGAGGUAAAGGCUCACCAAGGCGACGAUCCGUAGCGGGUCUGAGAGGAUGAUCCGCCACACUGGGACUGAGACACGGCCCAGACUCCUACGGGGGCAGCCAGUCGGGGAAUUUUGGACAAUGGGCGCAAGCCUGAUCCGAGCCAUGCCGCGUGAGUGAAGAAGGCC